rnacentral:rRNA from 1 species
UACGUAGGGUGCAAGCGUUAAUCGGAAUUACUGGGCGUAAAGCGUGCGUAGGCGGUUCGUUAAGUCUGUUGUGAAAGCCCCGGGCUCAACCUGGGAAUGGCAAUGGAUACUGGCGAGCUAGAGUGUGUCAGAGGAUGGUGGAAUUCCCGGUGUAGCGGUGAAAUGCGUAGAGAUCGGGAGGAACAUCAGUGGCGAAGGCGGCCAUCUGGGACAACACUGACGCUGAGGCACGAAAGCGUGGGGAGCAAACAGG